GAGGGUGCAAGCGUUAUCCGGAUUUAUUGGGUUUAAAGGGUCCGUAGGCGGAUCAUUAAGUCAGUGGUGAAAGCCGACAGCUCAACUGUCGAACUGCCAUUGAUACUGGUGAUCUUGAGUACGGUUGAAGUAGGCGGAAUAUGACAUGUAGCGGUGAAAUGCUUAGAUAUGUCAUAGAACACCGAUUGCGAAGGCAGCCUACUAAGCCGUUACUGACGCUGAGGGACGAAAGUGUGGGGAGCGAACAGGAUUAGAUACCCUGGUAGUCCACACCGUAAACGAUGAUUACUCGGUAUUGGCUUUAUUGUCAGUGCCCAAGCGAAAGUGAUAAGUAAUCCACCUGGGGAGUACGGUCGCAAGAUUGAAACUCAAAGGAAUUGACGGGGGCCCGCACAAGCGGUGGAGCAUGUGGUUUAAUUCGAUGAUACGCGAGGAACCUUACCAGGGCUUAAAUGUAGAACGUCCGGGGUGGAAGCACCCCCUUUUUCGAACGGUCUACAAGGUGCUGCAUGGUUGUCGUCAGCUUGUGCUGUGAAGUGUCGGGUUAAGUCCCAUAACGAGCGCAACCCCUAUUUCUAGUUGCCAGCGGUUCGGCCGGGGACUCUAGAGAAACUGCCAGCGUAAGCUGUGAGGAAGGUGGGGACGACGUCAAAUCAUCACGGCCCUUACGUCCUGGGCCACACACGUGCUACAAUGGUGGGGACAACGAGUUGCCAACCCGCGAGGGUGAGCUAAUCUCUCAAACCCCAUCUCAGUUCGGAUCGGAGUCUGCAACUCGACUCCGUGAAGUUGGAAUCGCUAGUAAUCGCGCAUCAGCCAUGGCGCGGUGAAUACGUUCCCGGGCCUUGUACACACCGCCCGUCAAGCCAUGGAAUCUGGGGGCGCCUGAAGUCAGUAACCGCAAGGAGCUGCCUAGGGCGAAUCUGGUAACUAGGGCUAAGUCGCAACAAGGUAGCCGUACCGGAAGGUGCGGCUGGAAUAACUCCUUUUUAGAGAAAAACGACUCUCAUAUAUAUUCGUUGGUUUUAUUGGGCUGCUGCAUCAUUCUUCUUUUUCCGUCCUUAUCUAGUCCUGUAGCUCAGUUGGUUAGAGCACUACACUGAUAAUGUAGGGGUCAGCAGUUCAAAUCUGCUCAGGACUACGGUGAAGAUGGGGGAUUAGCUCAGCUGGCUAGAGCGCCUGCCUUGCACGCAGGAGGUCAUCGGUUCGACUCCGAUAUACUCCACUAAAAAGAAGUUCUUUGACGUACUGGUAGAAGAUAGAGUAAAUCAUAAGCAACAAAGGGCAGUUGGCGGAUGCCUAGGCUCUCAAUAGCGAUGAAGGACGUGAUAAGCUGCGAUAAGCCAUACUGAGAUGCAAAUAAUCGUUUAAGUAUGGAUUU
rnacentral:sRNA from 1 species